ACGAGUCAUUUACAACUUCAGCAUGCCAAGCGGAUGUCGCAUUAUGUCGCUGAAGGUGCUUUGCGCCAACUGCAGCAUACCGGUAUACAAUGAAGUUAUGGAAAAUGAGACAUACAGUAUUGUGACCACUACUUUCAUUGCAAACGGGGGCGAUGGUUUUAAGUUUGACAGGUCUGUCAAAUGGAAGACUGAAGGAGUGAGCGCUACGGACGCAUUACUGGCCUACAUAAAAAAAAUAUCGCCCAUAAAAACUCCGGAAGAAGGUCGCGUGAUCGCACUGGACCUGCCACGGAAGCCCGAGAAUACAACAACGUCCUCACCGAUUGCACAGCCCUCAGCAACUACAGCCAACUCGGCAGUUACAAUGGCUUCAGUGAUGUCUCGAAAUGAGUGGAGGUCUAUGAGAAGAAAUUAUCUUUGGUGAUGUGCACACCGAUUGCGAAACGUACAUCCCAUGUUCCCAUAAAUAAAUGUUUUAUACCA